CAGCAGCCGCGGGAAUACGAAGGGGGCUAGCGUUGCUCGGAAUGACUGGGCGUAAAGGGCGCGUAGGCGGUUUUGACAGUCAGAUGUGAAAUUCCUGGGCUUAACCUGGGGGCUGCAUUUGAGACGUCAAGACUAGAGUGUGAGAGAGGGUUGUGGAAUUCCCAGUGUAGAGGUGAAAUUCGUAGAUAUUGGGAAGAACACCGGUGGCGAAGGCGGCAACCUGGCUCAUUACUGACGCUGAGGCGCGAAAGCGUGGGGAGCAAACAGGAUUAGAUACCCGGGUAGUCCCUGUCUCUUAUAA
rnacentral:rRNA from 1 species